rnacentral:rRNA from 1 species
CCUACGGGAGGCUGCAGUAGGGAAUAUUGCUCAAUGGGGGAAACCCUGAAGCAGCAACGCCGCGUGGAGGAUGAAGGUUUUCGGAUUUUUAACUCCUUUUGUUAGGGAAGAUAAUGACGGUACCUAACGAAUAAGCACCGGCUAACUGCGUGCCACCAGCCGCGGUAAUACGGAGGGUGCAAGCGUUACUCGGAAUCACUGGGCGUAAAGAGGGCGUAGGCGGGAUAGCAAGUCAGAUGUGAAAUCCUAUGGCUUAACCAUAGAAGUGCAUUUGAAACUGUUAGUCUAGAGUAGGGGAGAGGUAGGUGGAAUUCGUGGUGUAGGGGUGAAAUCCGUAGAGAUCGAGAGGAAUACUCAUUGCGAAGGCGACCUGCUAGAACAUAACUGACGCUGAUGCGCGAAAGCGUGGAGAGCAAACAGGAUUAGAUACCCCUGUAGUC